rnacentral:tRNA from 1 species
GCUAGUGUAGCUAACGUAAAGCAUAACACUGAAGA